AUACUUACUUGGCAGGGAAGAUACCAUGAUCACAAAGGUGGUUUUCCCAGGGCAAGGCUUAUCCAUUGCAAUCCAGAUGUGCUGACCCCUGUGAUUUCCCCAAAUGCGGGGAAACUCAACUGCAUAAUUUGUGGUAGUGGGGGACUGCGUUCGCGCUCUUCCCUG